rnacentral:misc_RNA from 1 species
GAUGAAGAACGCAGCGAAAUGCGAUAAGUAAUGUGAAUUGCAGAAUUCAGUGAAUCAUCGAAUCUUUGAACGCACAUUGCGCCCGCCAGUAUUCUGGCGGGCAUGCCUGUUCGAGCGUCAUUUCAACCAUCAAGCCCCCGGCUUGUGUUGGGGACCUGCGGCUGCCGCAGGCCCUGAAAACCAGUGGCGGGCUCGCUGUCACACCGAGCGUAGUAGGUUUUCAUCUCGCUCAGGGCGUGCUGCGGGUUCCGGCCGUAAAAAGCCUUAUUUACCCAAGGUUGACCUCGGAUCAGGUAGGAAGACCCGCUGAACUUAAGCAUAUCAAUAAGCGGAGGA